UGUUUUUAUGUAUCUUUAAGGUAGAUGGAAAUUCUAAAUUGAAGGGAGCACAGACUGUGCAGGCCAUUGUGGGAAUCUCAAGGAUUCCACAUGGGACAGGAAAGUGAGUUGAAGACGUGGGUGGGAGAAGUCAGUUCAAGGCCAGGUCAGUAGAAUUUGGCCUGUGCAGCCUUGUGAGUUCUCUGUAGGAACCAGGAAGAAAGCAAAGGGAAGUUGUGAAUGGAAACAUCUGAACAUAAAGAGAAUCCUUGGAAGGCACUCAUGGCCCGCCCUCAUUUGGUUCAUUCUAACCAUCCAGCUGUGUUAGUCAGGGUCCUCCAGAGAAAGAGAAGACAGGACACACAGGCGAUCCAUAGAGUAGCUUCUCCCACAUCUGCUGUUGCUUACAAUUAACCAGUGUAAAAUGAUCAAUAUCCCAAAGAGGCAUAUUUUGGGGUGGAAAACUUUGCUCACCUCUUUUGUAUUAAAGGGGAACAUAACUAGCAAAGGAAGCAGGAGAACACCACCUGCACUCAGUAUUUAUCCUAUUAAAGCAAAUUCUUACCACUGCAGUAUAUUUCGAAAGAGGAAGGGUAGAUGGGAUCACGGCUGUGUCAGCUUCACAGGGCUGGCAAAAAUGUAAUACUGGUGAGACUUGAUCCUGAGACCUGCCACACAGAGGAGUCGUCUGGUCCUUGGCCAACUUCAGCUUUGAUGUUGGCCAUUCCUUCUUGGAUAAGUCAGUUGACAGCAACUUGACAAGGGCUGCUGGGGUGCGCCCUGUCUGUCCCGCACCAUCCACCUCCUCAUCUCCCACUGCCUUCAGCCUGCCCUGGGCUCCCAUCACCCUCUGCCACCUCAUCUAGAUAAGCUCACUGCAGUCUCCCAGAUCCUUUCCUGCUCUGACAGCUGCUGUCCGUGCUGAAGACAGGGUUUUAAUUUUUAAAUGAACCUGAUUUUGUCACCUUCCCUUCUUAGAGCCUCUCAAUGACUUCUCGUUGCUAAAAAUGACAGUCUCCGAAGAGGCCUGAGCUUUGUGCGUCCGCCCUGCCCUCUCUACCUGCUCUUUCUCCCCAGUCCUGGACCCACCCGCUCCCUCCUCUCUGGGAAGUUCAGACACACGGUUCUGCCCCUCACUCAGCUUCUUGGUGGCUGUACCCCAAGCAUGUCAAACUCAUGGACCGCA